rnacentral:rRNA from 1 species
AGUCGAGGGGCAGCAUUUUAGUUUGNUUGCAAACUAAAGAUGGCGACCGGCGCACGGGCUGAGCUAACACGCUAUCCNACCUGCCGAUAACUCGGGGAUAGCCUUUCGAAAGAAAGAUUAAUAUCCGAUAGUAUAUUAAAACCGCAUGGUUUUACUAUUAAAGAAUUUCGGUUAUCGAUGGGGAUGCGUUCCAUUAGUUUGUUGGCGGGGUAACGGCCCACCAAGACUACGAUGGAUAGGGGUUCUGAGAGGAAGGUCCCCCACAUUGGAACUGAGACACGGUCCAAACUCAUACGGGAGGCAGCAGUGAGGAAUAUUGGUCAAUGGACGAGAGUCUGAACCAGCCAAGUAGCGUGAAGGAUGACUGCCCUAUGGGUUGUAAACUUCUUUUAUAUGGGAAUAAAGUAUUNCCACGUGUGGGAUUUUUGUAUGUACCAUAUGAAUAAGGAUCGGCUAACUCCGUGCCAGCAGCCGCGGUAAUACGGAGGAUCCGAGCGUUAUCCGGAUUUAUUGGGUUUAAAGGGAGCGUAGGUGGAUUGUUAAGUCAGUUGUGAAAGUUUGCGGCUCAACCGUAAAAUUGCAGUUGAAACUGGCAGUCUUGAGUACAGUAGAGGUGGGCGGAAUUCGUGGUGUAGCGGUGAAAUGCUUAGAUAUCACGAAGAACUCCGAUUGCGAAGGCAGCUCACUAGACUGCAACUGACACUGAUGCUCGAAAGUGUGGGUAUCAAACAGGAUUAGAUACCCUGGUAGUCCACACAGUAAACGAUGAAUACUCGCUGUUUGCGAUAUACAGUAAGCGGCCAAGCGAAAGCAUUAAGUAUUCCACCUGGGGAGUACGCCGGCAACGGUGAAACUCAAAGGAAUUGACGGGGGCCCGCACAAGCGGAGGAACAUGUGGUUUAAUUCGAUGAUACGCGAGGAACCUUACCCGGGCUUAAAUUGCAUUUGAAUAAUCUGGAAACAGGUUAGCCGCAAGGCAAAUGUGAAGGUGCUGCAUGGUUGUCGUCAGCUCGUGCCGUGAGGUGUCGGCUUAAGUGCCAUAACGAGCGCAACCCUUAUCUUUAGUUACUAACAGGUCAUGCUGAGGACUCUAGAGAGACUGCCGUCGUAAGAUGUGAGGAAGGUGGGGAUGACGUCAAAUCAGCACGGCCCUUACGUCCGGGGCUACACACGUGUUACAAUGGGGGGUACAGAAGGCAGCUACCUGGCGACAGGAUGCUAAUCCCAAAAACCUCUCUCAGUUCGGAUCGAAGUCUGCAACCCGACUUCGUGAAGCUGGAUUCGCUAGUAAUCGCGCAUCAGCCAUGGCGCGGUGAAUACGUUCCCGGGCCUUGUACACACCGCCCGUCAAGCCAUGAAAGCCGGGGGUACCUGAAGUACGUACCGCAAGGAG